UCGGAUAUGGUGUAACGGCUAACAUUGCCGCCUCUCAUGCAAAGAACAGAUCUGGUCGACGUUACGCGGCAGCUCGGGGUUCGAUUCCCCGUAUCCGAA